UCCUCCACUUAAAUAAUAGAAAUGUUUUUAAUGCUAUAAGCAGCAAUUUACAACCUUAUGAAUGCUUCUGAACAAAUUUUAAACACAUGACUCUUACAGAUCAUCUUCUCUGUUGCCCCAGUAAAGCCUUAUCAUUUGCACCAAUGAUUUAUGCACAAAAGCAGAAUUUUUCUUCAAUGAAGUCAAUCUUUAUUCAGGGUGUUAUGUGGUUUUUAAAAUUUUUACGUAGUAAGAUUUACUCUGUAUUUUAUGGGGAAUUUCAUUUCAAAAAUUUUAACUAUUCUAUUUUUUUUGCAAUCUUUUAGUGUAAUGGCAUUUAUUAUAAAAAGUCUUCUCAAAAUGUUUACCAGGAAAAUAAGGCAGUUUACAAUCAGAAUAGUUGACCUUUUGAUAUUCUAAGACAUAAUUUACUUUGCAUAAGCCUGCGAUAGGUUCUCUUUAUUCAUAUUCAGCCUGAAUUCAAUUUCAAGUACCUGGUUCAGUAAUGCUACAGUUACGUUAUACAUUUGUUUUGUCAUGCAGCAUGCAGCCUUGGUGGUCGUAAUACAACCUGUAUUUGUGUACCACUUUUUUUCUCAUGUUAAAAACCUUUAAUUACAACAUGUAAUUCAAAUCACAGCCAUGAAAAGAUUUUGCAGCCAUAUUGUAAAACCGCCAUGGUGAUCAUACUGCAUUUUCACUAGUUUCAAUCUGGAGUAAACCUAAAGUGAAAUCUGCCAGCUCCAAACCAAGACUCAUGGUGACUUUCAAUUGCUUUCUGCUUCACUCCUCACUCACUGAAGAUCUGCUGUAUUGGACUGCUUUAAGUAAUGAACAACGUGUGGAUGCAAUAACAACUGGACAUGGUUGUAUAUAAUAUGAAUCUUAAAAAUUCAAUACAUCGUGUGUUGUAAUAGACAUACUUAAUUCACUCAUGUGAAGUAAACAUUCUCUGAAUUUUGGGGCCUGCAAUCUUUUGUUGCUUCUGUGUGAACCAUCAUGGUUCCUAACUGCCGUCAUGUUUUGGCCACAACUGUCUCCUAAGUCUUCAAUUAAUAGUUGAUUUAAUGGAAACUCUGUGAAGCCCAGCCUCCAAGGGAUUGUAACUUGGGUGAAAAAUUCAUGGGAUAAAGUCACUGACAGCUGUGUUUCCUAUGCCCUGUGAGCAGGCUACGUGGAUGAGAUGUGCACAUUUUAAGAGAGCUCUACUGCUGGACCUGAGAGGCUAGGGCCAAUAUUUCCAUAGAAAUGGAAUUUCAAGACAUUCAGUCCAUAAUGUGGGGUUUGGAGAACUAUAAUAGUGUUCUAGAAAAAGGUGACAAGACUGUAUUUGAACAAAUACGGAUUUUUGUAUAUGAAAAAAAUAAGAUUACCCUGAAAAAUAAGUCCUGGUGCAUCUUUUGGAGCAAAAUUUAAGGCCACCAGCUUGGUGCUACUAGGAGGUGGUGGAGCCCUCAGGAGUUGGAAUCUAGUGAAAGGUCUCCAGUCACUGGGCAGAACCCCCUGAAGGGGACAGCAGGAUCUCACGCCCUUCUUCUUCUCUUCCCAGCCAUGAGAGAGAACAGGCCCAGCUGCAGGCGUGCAUGCCAGUGCAGGCGGCACCAGCAAGAACAGACUGGGAAACGGGUGCGCACUCCUGCAGGCAGGACCUGUGGCGGGGAGCAGUCUGAAGCAAGAGGGAGAAUAUGAAGCAGCCGCUGGUCAUCAGCUCUGUUAUGGUCUCCUGAGCAAACACUGUAGACUGUCAUACUGCUAAAAUAGGCCUCUCCUGCGUGUAAGGCCAGGUCGGAAUCUCUGAGCUAACAAUGCUGCAGCAGUUGGCCUCCAUAUGCACUGCCUCAGACUUCUGCCACCCGCUGUCUGCUAGUAUAGCUGUCAGGACCUAAAGAAUAUCUCCUGCCUUUGAUUUGCUCCUGUCAGCCAGUUCAUGUUUGUUUUAAGAUGGAAAGACCCAGCCAGGCAUCAAAAAAUUAUGUGUCCUCUUUUUGAGAAACCCUCACAGAUGACCUUGUUGAUUUCCCAUCACAACAUAUUGCAGCACUUCUGACUGAUGACAUCCAAGCUGCCUGCUGGAAAGACUGAAAAGCUCUGCACAAUGUCUUGCACAAACUGACUACAAGAAAAAAUCCACAAAUUCCUUAGAGCUUCUGCAUCCUAUAAAAUGUGGGCCCUUGAGUUCACAUAAACAAUGAUGCUUACUCAGGGCUGCCUACUCCCUUUUUUAUCUUCAUGCUCUAAUAGUUGCUGUCCUUGUGAUUAAGAAACCUGACAAGCUCAUCUUAGUCCAAGCCCUCAUUGUCCAGGUGCCUCAUGCUGUACUGGACAUCCUGAGUAACUGUCGACCACCCAGUCCUGACAUGUGUCUGCCCACCACGCUUGGCCCACCAGAUUGUGCCUGAAAUCUGACUCCCUCUGAUGGAUGCUGAGUAGACCCUGCUUAUGAAUGCAAGUGGCUCUGUGACGACAAGUUAUAGAUGCUGUAGUCACCUUGGAUGAAGUUAUUUUGGCCAAAACUCUCCUACUACUGCUUCCUGCUGCUGUUUGGAAACCUGCUACCAAAAUACUACAUGAAACUCCAUUAGAAUGUACAAUCUUACGUCUUAUUGUAUCAUCUAAAAUAAAUUUCACAAAGUGAAUGAAACAUGAUGAAGAAAUGUUCAGAUAAAACAGAAAAUAAAAUAGAGUUUAAACUGUUUCCUUCCA